rnacentral:rRNA from 1 species
UUGAAAAGUUAGCGGAUGACCUGUGGAUCGGAGUGAAAGGCUAAUCAAGCUCGGAGAUAGCUGGUUCUCCUCGAAAGCUAUUUAGGUAGCGCCUCGUGUAUCACUGCUGGGGGUAGAGCACUGUUUCGGCUAGGGGGUCAUCCCGACUUACCAAACCGAUGCAAACUCCGAAUACCAGCAAGUGUCAGCACGGGAGACACACGGCGGGUGCUAACGUCCGUCGUGAAAAGGGAAACAACCCAGACCGUCAGCUAAGGUCCCAAAGUUAUGGUUAAGUGGGAAACGAUGUGGGAAGGCUUAGACAGCUAGGAGGUUGGCUUAGAAGCAGCCAUCCUUUAAAGAAAGCGUAAUAGCUCACUAGUCGAGUCGGCCUGCGCGGAAGAUGUAACGGGGCUCAAACCAUACACCGAAGCUACGGGUUCAUCCUUUGGAUGAGCGGUAGAGGAGCGUUCUGUAAGCCUGUGAAGGUGAGUUGAGAAGCUUGCUGGAGGUAUCAGAAGUGCGAAUGCUGACAUGAGUAACGACAAUGCGAGUGAAAAACUCGCACGCCGAAAGACCAAGGUUUCCUGCGCAACGUUAAUCGACGCAGGGUUAGUCGGCCCCUAAGGCGAGGCAGAAAUGCGUAGUCGAUGGGAAACGGGUUAAUAUUCCCGUACUUCUAGUUACUGCGAUGGAGGGACGGAGAAGGCUAGGCCAGCACGGCGUUGGUUGUCCGUGUUUAAGGUGGUAGGCUGAGAUCUUAGGUAAAUCCGGGAUCUUAAGGCCGAGAGCUGAUGACGAGCGUUCUUUUAGAAUGCGAAGUGGUUGAUGCCAUGCUUCCAGGAAAAGCUUCUAAGCUUCAGGUAACUAGGAACCGUACCCCAAACCGACACAGGUGGUUAGGUAGAGAAUACCAAGGCGCUUGAGAGAACUCGGGUGAAGGAACUAGGCAAAAUGGCACCGUAACUUCGGGAGAAGGUGCGCCGGUGAGGGUGAAGUAUUUACUGCGUAAGCCCAUGCCGGUCGAAGAUACCAGGCCGCUGCGACUGUUUAUUAAAAACACAGCACUCUGCAAACACGAAAGUGGACGUAUAGGGUGUGACGCCUGCCCGGUGCCGGAAGGUUAAUUGAUGGGGUUAGCGCAAGCGAAGCUCUUGAUCGAAGCCCCGGUAAACGGCGGCCGUAACAAUAACGGUCCUAAGGUAGCGAAAUUCCUUGUCGGGUAAGUUCCGACCCGCACGAAAGGCGUAAUGAUUUGGAUACUGUCUCGGAGAGGGGCUCGGUGAAAUAGACUUGUCUGUGAAGAUGCGGACUACCUGCACCAGGACAGAAAGACCCUAUGAAGCUUUACUGUAACUUGAAAUUGAAAUUGGACUUUAUUUGCGCAGUAUAGGUGGGAGGCGUUGAUAAUAUUCUUGCGGGAAUAUUGGAGCCAUCAGUGAGAUACCACUCUUGUAAUGUUAGAUUUCUAACUUUGAAUCAUUAUCUGGUCAAAGAACAGUUUCAGGCGGGCAGUUUGACUGGGGCGGUCGCCUCCCAAAUGGUAACGGAGGCGUACAAAGGUUUCCUCUGAACGUGUAGAAAUCGUAUCUAGAGUGUAAAGGCAUAAGGAAGCUUGACUGUGAGACUUACAAGUCGAGCAGGGACGAAAGUCGGUCUUAGUGAUCUGACGGUACUGAGUGGAAAGGCCGUCACUCAACGGAUAAAAGUUACUCUAGGGAUAACAGGCUGAUCUCCCCCAAGAGUUCACAUCGACGGGGAGGUUUGGCACCUCGAUGUCGGCUCAUCACAUCCUGGGGCUGAAGCCGGUCCCAAGGGUAUGGCUGUUCGCCAUUUAAAGUGGUACGCGAGCUGGGUUUAGAACGUCGUGAGACAGUUCGGUCCCUAUCUGCCGUGGACGUUUGAGAUUUGAGAGGGGCUGACCUUAGUACGAGAGGACCGGGUUGGACGAACCUCUGGUGUUCCGGUUGUCACGCCAGUGGCAUUGCCGGGUAGCUAUGUUCGGAAAAGAUAACCGCUGAAAGCAUCUAAGCGGGAAACUUGCCUCAAGAUGAGAUCUCACUGGAGCCUUGAGCUCCCUAAAGGGCCGUCGAAGACUACGACGUUGAUAGGUGGGGUGUGUAAGCGCUGUGAGGCGUUGAGCUAACCCAUACUAAUUGCCCGUGAGGCUUGACC